ACGAAGGGGGCUAGCGUUGCUCGGAAUGACUGGGCGUAAAGGGCGCGUAGGCGGUAUGGACAGUCAGGUGUGAAAUUCCCGGGCUUAACCUGGGGACUGCAUUUGAUACGUUCAAACUAGAGUGUGGAAGAGGGUCGUGGAAUUCCCAGUGUAGAGGUGAAAUUCGUAGAUAUUGGGAAGAACACCGGUGGCGAAGGCGGCGACCUGGUCCAUUACUGACGCUGAGGCGCGAAAGCGUGGGGAGCAAACAGG
rnacentral:rRNA from 1 species